rnacentral:rRNA from 1 species
AAUAUUGGACAAUGGGCGCAAGCCUGAUCCAGCCAUGCCGCGUGUUUGAAGAAGGUCUUCGGAUUGUAAAGCACUGUAAGUUGGGUGGAAGGGCAGUAAGUUAAUACCUUGCUGUUUUGACGUUACCGACAGAAUAAGCACCGGCUCACUUCGUGCCAGCAGCCGCGGUAAUACGUAGGGUGCAAGCGUUAAUCGGAAUUACUGGGCGUAAAGCGCGGGUAGGUGGUUUGUUAAGUUGGAAGUGAAAGCCCCGGGCGCAACCUGGGAACUGGAUUCACAACUGGCAAGCUAGAGUAUGGCAGAGGGUGGUGGAAUUUCCUGUGUAGCGGUGAAAUGCGUAGAUAUAGGAAGGAACACCAGUGGAGAAGGCGACCACCUGGGCUCAUACUGAAACUGAGGUGCGAAAGCGUGGGGAGCAAAC